AUCUAAAUCACUUAUCGAGGAACAAUUGGAGGGCAAGUCUGGUGCCAGCAGCCGCGGUAAUUCCAGCUCCAAUAGCGUAUAUUAAAGUUGUUGCAGUUAAAAAGCUCGUAGUUGAAUUUCUGAUUAUGAAUGUACUGGGUAACCGGUCCAUUUAUAGUCAUCCACAUGAGAACCUUUCUCGGCCUUCACUGGUCGGUUGGGGGAUCAUGUACUUUACUUUGAAAAAAUCAGAGUGUUUCAGGCAGGCGUUUGCAUGAAUACACAAGCAUGGAAUAAUGGAAUAGGACUAGGGUCCAUUUUAUUGGUUAUUGGACCAUAGUAAUGAUUAAUAGGGACAGUUGGGGGCAUUAGUAUUUAAUUGUCAGAGGUGAAAUUCUUGGAUUUAUUAAAGACUAACUUAUGCGAAAGCAUUUGCCAAGGAUGUUUUCAUUAAUCAAGAACGAAAGUUAGGGGAUCAAAGACGAUCAGAUACCGUCCUAGUCUUAACUAUAAACUAUACCGACUAGGA
rnacentral:rRNA from 1 species